rnacentral:lncRNA from 1 species
AUUUAGACUUAAUCAAAUUUACCAAAAUCAAGAUAGGGUUAACUCCAUUAAUCAUAAUCAUUUAAACUAAAAGAAAUAAAACAGUGGAGAUGAAAUCUAUCAAGAAAAAUCAUAAUUAACUUAGUAGAUAAGAAUCAUGCAUGUGGGUCAAACAGUGGGCAAGUCGUGGUCAAAUUCUUGGGCAUGAAAAGAAGCAGAAUAUUCUUUAAAAAAAAUUAUAUGGGCAGCAACAACCAAAUCAGCAUCUAAAAC